GACCGGGCCGGGCAGGAACGGCUGCCCCGGCUCCGGCUCGGGCAGCCCGGCGUGCACGCAUCGGGUGCCGUCGUGCCAGGGCGUCGCCGGGUCG
rnacentral:tRNA from 1 species